GAUGAACGCUAGCUACAGGCUUAACACAUGCAAGUCGAGGGGCAGCAUUUUAGUUUGCUUGCAAACUAAAGAUGGCGACCGGCGCACGGGUGAGUAACACGUAUCCAACCUGCCGAUAACUCGGGGAUAGCCUUUCGAAAGAAAGAUUAAUAUCCGAUAGUAUAUUAAAACCGCAUGGUUUUACUAUUAAAGAAUUUCGGUUAUCGAUGGGGAUGCGUUCCAUUAGUUUGUUGGCGGGGUAACGGCCCACCAAGACUACGAUGGAUAGGGGUUCUGAGAGGAAGGUCCCCCACAUUGGAACUGAGACACGGUCCAAACUCCUACGGGAGGCAGCAGUGAGGAAUAUUGGUCAAUGGACGAGAGUCUGAACCAGCCAAGUAGCGUGAAGGAUGACUGCCCUAUGGGUUGUAAACUUCUUUUAUAUGGGAAUAAAGUAUUCCACGUGUGGAAUUUUGUAUGUACCAUAUGAAUAAGGAUCGGCUAACUCCGUGCCAGCAGCCGCGGUAAUACGGAGGAUCCGAGCGUUAUCCGGAUUUAUUGGGUUUAAAGGGAGCGUAGGUGGAUUGUUAAGUCAGUUGUGAAAGUUUGCGGCUCAACCGUAAAAUUGCAGUUGAAACUGGCAGUCUUGAGUACAGUAGAGGUGGGCGGAAUUCGUGGUGUAGCGGUGAAAUGCUUAGAUAUCACGAAGAACUCCGAUUGCGAAGGCAGCUCACUAGACUGCAACUGACACUGAUGCUCGAAAGUGUGGGUAUCAAACAGGAUUAGAUACCCUGGUAGUCCACACAGUAAACGAUGAAUACUCGCUGUUUGCGAUAUACAGUAAGCGGCCAAGCGAAAGCAUUAAGUAUUCCACCUGGGGAGUACGCCGGCAACGGUGAAACUCAAAGGAAUUGACGGGGGCCCGCACAAGCGGAGGAACAUGUGGUUUAAUUCGAUGAUACGCGAGGAACCUUACCCGGGCUUAAAUUGCAUUUGAAUAAUCUGGAAACAGGUUAGCCGCAAGGCAAAUGUGAAGGUGCUGCAUGGUUGUCGUCAGCUCGUGCCGUGAGGUGUCGGCUUAAGUGCCAUAACGAGCGCAACCCUUAUCUUUAGUUACUAACAGGUUAUGCUGAGGACUCUAGAGAGACUGCCGUCGUAAGAUGUGAGGAAGGUGGGGAUGACGUCAAAUCAGCACGGCCCUUACGUCCGGGGCUACACACGUGUUACAAUGGGGGGUACAGAAGGCAGCUACCUGGCGACAGGAUGCUAAUCCCAAAAACCUCUCUCAGUUCGGAUCGAAGUCUGCAACCCGACUUCGUGAAGCUGGAUUCGCUAGUAAUCGCGCAUCAGCCAUGGCGCGGUGAAUACGUUCCCGGGCCUUGUACACACCGCCCGUCAAGCCAUGAAAGCCGGGGGUACCUGAAGUACGUAACCGCAAGGAGCGUCCUAGGGUAAAACUGGUAAUUGGGGCU
rnacentral:rRNA from 1 species